rnacentral:rRNA from 2 species
GACGAACGCUGGCGGCGUGCCUAAUACAUGCAAGUCGAACGAACUCUGGUAUUGAUUGGUGCUUGCAUCAUGAUUUACAUUUGAGUGAGUGGCGAACUGGUGAGUAACACGUGGGAAACCUGCCCAGAAGCGGGGGAUAACACCUGGAAACAGAUGCUAAUACCGCAUAACAACUUGGACCGCAUGGUCCGAGUUUGAAAGAUGGCUUCGGCUAUCACUUUUGGAUGGUCCCGCGGCGUAUUAGCUAGAUGGUGGGGUAACGGCUCACCAUGGCAAUGAUACGUAGCCGACCUGAGAGGGUAAUCGGCCACAUUGGGACUGAGACACGGCCCAAACUCCUACGGGAGGCAGCAGUAGGGAAUCUUCCACAAUGGACGAAAGUCUGAUGGAGCAACGCCGCGUGAGUGAAGAAGGGUUUCGGCUCGUAAAACUCUGUUGUUAAAGAAGAACAUAUCUGAGAGUAACUGUUCAGGUAUUGACGGUAUUUAACCAGAAAGCCACGGCUAACUACGUGCCAGCAGCCGCGGUAAUACGUAGGUGGCAAGCGUUGUCCGGAUUUAUUGGGCGUAAAGCGAGCGCAGGCGGUUUUUUAAGUCUGAUGUGAAAGCCUUCGGCUCAACCGAAGAAGUGCAUCGGAAACUGGGGAACUUGAGUGCAGAAGAGGACAGUGGAACUCCAUGUGUAGCGGUGAAAUGCGUAGAUAUAUGGAAGAACACCAGUGGCGAAGGCGGCUGUCUGGUCUGUAACUGACGCUGAGGCUCGAAAGUAUGGGUAGCAAACAGGAUUAGAUACCCUGGUAGUCCAUACCGUAAACGAUGAAUGCUAAGUGUUGGAGGGUUUCCGCCCUUCAGUGCUGCAGCUAACGCAUUAAGCAUUCCGCCUGGGGAGUACGGCCGCAAGGCUGAAACUCAAAGGAAUUGACGGGGGCCCGCACAAGCGGUGGAGCAUGUGGUUUAAUUCGAAGCUACGCGAAGAACCUUACCAGGUCUUGACAUACUAUGCAAAUCUAAGAGAUUAGACGUUCCCUUCGGGGACAUGGAUACAGGUGGUGCAUGGUUGUCGUCAGCUCGUGUCGUGAGAUGUUGGGUUAAGUCCCGCAACGAGCGCAACCCUUAUUAUCAGUUGCCAGCAUUAAGUUGGGCACUCUGGUGAGACUGCCGGUGACAAACCGGAGGAAGGUGGGGAUGACGUCAAAUCAUCAUGCCCCUUAUGACCUGGGCUACACACGUGCUACAAUGGAUGGUACAACGAGUUGCGAACUCGCGAGAGUAAGCUAAUCUCUUAAAGCCAUUCUCAGUUCGGAUUGUAGGCUGCAACUCGCCUACAUGAAGUCGGAAUCGCUAGUAAUCGCGGAUCAGCAUGCCGCGGUGAAUACGUUCCCGGGCCUUGUACACACCGCCCGUCACACCAUGAGAGUUUGUAACACCCAAAGUCGGUGGGGUAACCUUUUAGGAACCAGCCGCCUAAGGUGGGACAGAUGAUUAGGGUG